UUUUAAGGCACUAGUUGCAGGAACAGAGAUUUCUUUCUGCUAAAUGAAUCUUGACAGAUUCAUUUCCAUCGGAAUACAUCGUCUUCAACGACAGGUGACCAACCCACUAGGAACACUUAUAUAGGGCACUCAUCAUGAAUGGAGCUUGCAGUUCUGGAAGUCGCUCUUGGAAAGACUCCGCUUCCAGAAAGAUGACUGACUUACUGAUUGAUACAUGUGGAAUGGAACACCAGGCCUGGCUCUUGACCCCCCUGGGAAGGAGUCAGCUAGCAGAAAGCAAACAUUCUGUUUUGCUCUGUUGUCAGGGCGGAGUCUCACUCUUUCGCCCAGGCUGGAAUACAGUGGUGUGAUCUCAGCUCACUUCAACCUCCGCCUCCCUGGUUCAAGCGAUUCUCCUGCCUCAGCCUCCCGAGUAGCUGGGACUACAGGUGCCUGCCACCACGCCUGGCUAAUCUUUUUAUUUUUAUUUUUAUUUUAUUUUUAGUAGAGAUGGGGCUUCACCGUGUUAGCCAGGAUGGUCUCGAUCUCCUGACCUCGUGAUCCGCCCACCUCAGCCUCCCAAAGUGCUGGGAUUACAGGCGUGAGCCACCACGCCUGGCCCCCAGUUUCAUUUUUCUUCAUAUCACUUAUCACCACCACAUAGACAUAUAUGUGUUCCAUGUUCCUCCUUGUCUAGCACAGGGGAAACACUUGAUCUGCUUGCUCUGUUGACAAUGACUGUGAAGAUGCACAUAUACUUGUAUCAUGCUUAUUUGUUAGCCAGACAAAGUUCUAAAUGUUUUACAAUGAUUACCUCAUUUAAUAUUAUAUCAUAUCACCUCAUAUCAACCUUCUAAGAUAAGAACUGUUAUCGUCUGUACUUUCUAGAUAAAGAAACUGAGGCACAGAGAGAUUACAAAAUCUGCCCAAGGUCACAGAGCUAGUAAGGGGUGGAGCAGAUAUUUAAACAUAGUCAGAUUGUAUCCUUGAUGAGAAUUACAAACAGGAACAGAGCAAAGACAUGGUUUUGUUCAUGUUCUACCCUCAGGGCAUGGAAUAAUGCCUAGCACUUAGCAUAAAUGAAUGAAUAAAUGAAAUAAUGUUAUCCGUUUCUUAGAAUUAUUUUGAAGAUUAAAAAUAGUCAUGUAAAGGGCUUAAACCAGUCCAUGGCACAUAGUCAGAGCUCAAUACAGAUUAAGAAAAAACAGAACUUCUGGUUAACUUUGGGCUGUAUCAAUACCCUCUCUCUUUAUGUUCUGAACAGUAAUUUGAUAUUGUAAUGGGUUCUCAACUUAAAAUUUGAAGAACAGUUCUCAAGCUAUGCUCAGAUCUAUCAAAUGUAUAAUUGCUAGACUCUGAACCGGACUAAUGUCUUUAGUUCUAAAAUCAAAUAAUGGGAUUUUUCUCAACUCUCAGAAAACAUCAAACAAGUGAAUAUGAUUUUCUAAAUUUUAGGUGUUUCUCCCAUGUAUUUUUCUUAAAACAUCAACUACUACAUCUUAUCUGCUGGGUACAAGAAUGAGUGAAUAAGUAGCAAAUACUAACAGGAAAAGAUGGAAAGAGCCCUAGUUGGAAAUCAGAAAGCAGCCAUGGUUUAUUUAUAAAUAUAAGAUCAAGGGAAUGUGAUUUACAACACCAACACUGAAUAUUCUUGAAAAAGAAAUUAAAUAAAUGCAUAAAUAUUUGUUUAUCUGUCUAGGUAUCUCCAUUUAGAUUUAGAUAUGUAGAUACAUUUAUUUGGUACUAAAUCAGAGUUUUUGGGAUUGAAAUAAAUCAUCCAUAUUUUAUCAUAACACAAGGAGCACCUUUAAUUUCAGGAUAUUCUGCUUCCUGAACAAGUUAAAUAGCCAUUGAACUAGGAAAGCAAAAAUAAAAAGUAAAAACCUGGCAAACUCAGUGUUAGAGAUUUCCCACCGGCUCCCUCUCCACUUCAAUGAGGAAGCCCACGAGAAUUUUAGCAGAACUGUAUUUGCAGUGUAACUUUGGUCUGAAGUUUCUUCUCCACCCAAAUGGAACUCAAUCAAAUAUGUGGAUUGCCAGGAAGUAUAGUUCUAUAAUUUUAUUUUAUUUUAUUUUUUGAGAUGGAGUCUCGCUCUGUUGUCCAGGCUGGAGUGCAGUGACAUGAUCUCAGCUCACAGCUACCUCCACCUCCUUGGUUCAAGCGGUUCUCCUG
rnacentral:lncRNA from 1 species